rnacentral:rRNA from 1 species
CCUACGGGAGGCAGCAGUAGGGAAUCUUCCACAAUGGGCGCAAGCCUGAUGGAGCAACACCGCGUGAGUGAAGAAGGGUUUCGGCUCGUAAAGCUCUGUUGUUGGAGAAGAACGUGCGGGAGAGUAACUGUUCACGCAGUGACGGUAUCCAACCAGAAGGACACGGCUAACUACGUGCGAGCAGCCGCGGUAAUACGUAGGGGGUAAGCGUUAUCCGGAUUUGUUGGGCGUAAAGCGAGCGCAGGCGGUUGCUUAGGUCCGAUGUGAAAGCCUUCGGCUUAACCGAAGCAGGGCAUCGGGAACAGGGCGAUUUGAGUGCAGGAGAGGACAGUGGAACUCCAUGUGUAGCGGUGGAAUGCGUAGAUAUAUGGAAGAACACCAGUGGCGAAGGCGGCUGUCUGGUCUGCAACUGACGCUGAGGCUCGAAAGCAUGGGUAGCGAACAGGAUUAGAUACCCCUGUAGUC